AGUGAACGCUGGCGGUAUGCCUAACACAUGCGAGUCGAACGGCAGCACAGUAAGAGCUUGCUCUUACGGUUGGCGAGUGGCGGACGGGUGAGGAAUACAUCGCAAUCUACUUUUUCGUGGGGGAUAACGUAGGGACACUUACGCUAAUACCGCAUACGACCUACGGGUGGAAGCAGGGGAUCUUCGGACCUUGCGCGAUUGAAUGAGCCGAUGUCGGAUUAGCUAGUUGGCUGGGUAAAGGCCCACCAAGGCGACGAUCCGUAGCUGGUCUGAGAGGAUGAUCAGCCACACUGGAACUGAGACACGGUCCAGACUCCUACGGGAGGCAGCAGUGGGGAAUAUUGGACAAUGGGCGAAAGCCUGAUCCAGCAACACCGCGUGAGUGAAGAAGGCCUUCGGGUUGUAAAGCCCUUUUGUUGGGAAAGAAAAGAAGCAGGUUAAUCCCCCGACGUUCUGACGGUACCCAAAGAAUAAGCACCGGCUAACUUCGUG
rnacentral:rRNA from 1 species